rnacentral:SRP_RNA from 1 species
GGCGGCAACGGCGGAGUCGUCAACCCCGCCAGGACCGAGAGGUAGCAACGGUAGCGGCGACGUCGUGUGCCGCCUGCCAUACCCAUCA